rnacentral:rRNA from 1 species
AUGUGCCGACAAAUCCAGAUAGGAGCUGCACAUAUCUCGUUCUCAGCGCACACCGGAUUGUCCAACCUUCCGGUAGGCCAGACCAGAGUUGCCCCUGGUGGCCACCGGCAUCCGACAACAAAAGGAACACAAAUCGGGGUCGGUGGUGACUAUGAGGAAUCCAACAAUGAGGCACUCGGCAUCGAGGUCCUGCAGCGCAUCAGCGGCAGGAGGCAGGCCCUAACAGAGAUGGAACAUGGCGGACGCAGGCGGAGGGGAACGCGACGAAGCGGACGGCAGCGGCUUGCUCACCGGCAACGGCUGGAGACGGAGGUCGCCGGCGCAGGGGCUCGACCGGAGUCAACGGUGCGGUCGUCACUGGCCCACGCGACGGAUCAGCGAAGCAAGGGUGCUGGCGAUGCAGAGGACUUGGCUGUGAUGGCGCUGCACUGCAACAGAAGAAGAAGAGGGAGGCGCGGCAGAGGCGAUGGCACGCGGGUCUGGUGA